GGGGGCCCGCACAAGCGGCGGAGCAUGUGGAUUAAUUCGAUGCAACGCGAAGAACCUUACCUGGGUUUGACAUGCACCAGACGGUUGUAGAGAUACGUACCUCCCUUUGUGGUUGGUGUGCAGGUGGUGCAUGGUUGUCGUCAGCUCGUGUCGUGAGAUGUUGGGUUAAGUCCCGCAACGAGCGCAACCCUUGUCUUAUGUUGCCAGCACGUUUGGGUGGGGACUCAUGAGAGACUGCCGGGGUUAACUCGGAGGAAGGUGGGGAUGACGUCAAAUCAUCAUGCCCUUUAUGCCCAGGGCUUCACACAUGCUACAAUGGUUAGUACAACGCGCUGCGAGCCUGUGAGGGUGAGCGAAUCGCGGAAAACCGGUCUCAGUUCGGAUUGGGGUCUGCAACUCGACCCCAUGAAGUCGGAGUCGCUAGUAAUCGCAGAUCAGCAACGCUGCGGUGAAUACGUUCCCGGGGCUUGUACACACCGCCCGUCAAGUCAUGAAAGUCGGUAACACCCGAAGCCGGUGGCCUAACCCAUUUUUUUGGGGGGGAGCCGUCGAAGGUGGGACUGGUGAUUAGGAGUAAGUCGUAACAAGGUAGCCG
rnacentral:rRNA from 1 species